UAUAGACUAAACUAUUGUUUUCUCCCCCUUUGUUAUGAAAGAUGCAACCUGCCUACUGGAGGGAACAGACCCCGAUUGCAAGCCUGUCAUCUCCAGGGUCUCGUCCUAGACAGGAAGGGCCUGUAGAAACUGGGAGAUGAGUUCAUCCCUCAACUGACGGCCAAAGAAUUUGAAGCAAGAACACAGAGUCUUGGUUCCACAAAACGCUGUACUUAAAAGGACACUGCUGAGCGCUUCCUGUUCAGUACUGCUGGGGACAGCCUUGAAAAUAAUGACCUACUUUCCCUCAGCAAAGCCAACUCUGAGAGAGGAUGAUGUCUACAAAUGAGGGCUCAUAAAAGAAUAUAAUUAAACACUGGUGCGCCUCAGAGUGAGAGAACUUUGAGAUAAUGACUACAGUGGCACGCACUGUACCACAGAGAACAAGAUGUCACAAUUGUAUAUUUGCAGGUUGAUUUAAUCUGACAGGAUUCUUAGCGACAGUGAACGUGGUCUGUCUGAGCCGAGCGGCGCAGCUGGUGUGUCCGACCAAUGCGGCUCUGUUUAUCUUUGUGAACUUACACGUGUCAAUUAGCAAACUUCUUAAUCUGGCUGCACGUGCUUAUCUUUGGAGGUCCCCUGUAGAUCUUCCUUGUCUGAGGCACAGAGUGUGUAAAUCAUCCCUUUCAUUUAAAUAGAGUCUUUUUUAAAAUUCUCUGUAUGACUUUAUUUUCCUGAUUUGAUUUUUGAAUGAUAGUCUCUUAUCCUAUCUUCACAAGAAUACCUCAUAGACACUAGUAGGUUUGGGUCCCCCUUACAGGAAAUCCAUGAGAGGGGAGAACAGACUAAAGUAGGAGUGAAAACCAUGGCCCUUGGACCAUAUCCAGUCCACCACCUAUUUCUGUGUGGGCCAUGAUUUUCAUAAAUACUUGAAAAACUAUCAAAAGAAGAUUUUUUUUUGAUUCACGCAAUUUACAUGAAAUUCAAAUUUCAGGGCCCACAGAUAAAAUUAUGUUGGAACAGAGGUACAUUUUGGGUCAUGUGUGGUGCAUGGUUGCUUUCAUGCUAGGAGAACAGCACUGAGUAGCUGCAGUAUAGACAUGUGGUCAGCAAAUUUGAAAUUUUUACUGUCUCUUCCCUUAGAGAAAACAGUUCUAAUCACUGAAUUCCAUGAGCCUUCACAUUCCCUUUCCUGUUUUCUAUUUUAAUAAAUAAGAAAAAGAAAGAAAAAGAAAAAAAAAGUUUUCAUGCUCAAAUUUCCUCCCAUUUCCAAUCCCCGCUUUUGCUUUGAGGGGGCCUUGAAAGGUGUUAGGGGGGGGGCACUUUCCCAUGUCCCAUCCAUCUCCAGCCUGUGAAUUGUAGAAGUCAGCCUGGAUGCUCCUUAGUCAAAAUGCCUACAGGUACAGAGUGCAUUAACAUUCCUAAAGCACUGUCUCUUGUGCUGUCUGACCUGCUCCUACACACUGGCCCCACCCCCUGUUCUUCCAAGAGAUGGAAUUAGAGGUCUAGAUGUGCUGAUUGGCUUUCCGAAAAUCAUGCAAUUCAUCAGCGGUGAGGAGCAGGCUCUAAACCAGACUCCACGCCUUCUGUCAUUCCACAGGAUCCUCUUGCUCCUUGCUCUGUCCCUUGCUGCAGGGUUGCUCUUCGCAGUCCUCAAGGACCACGUCUGUGUGGCGUCUCAGGAGCAUUCUUACCUCUCCCCAUCAUCCGAACUGGGCUCAAAUGCCAACUGGUCUUCAGAGACUCUUUCCCUGACCGCUUCUGUCCAUCUCUCCAUGGUCGUCCUCUGAUUGAUCCUUUGAAGCAUCCUCCUUCCCUCAAAUUUUACGGUUGUCUCAUGGGUACAGUGAUUCAACAUCUGUCUUGUCCUCUGCCUGCUCAGAAUCAACCUACACAAGCUGAAGAACAUGUGAGGGGAUGUGGGCCUUGCAAAAUAAAAAUCCUCCCUUUUCUCAUACAUCCUCAUUGCUGAUAAAGGCAAGGAAUAUCAUCUCAACUAAAAGAACGUGACAAAUCUCUCAAUAGUAGGGUAAAAAUAUAGGGAUUGAUACAGGCAGUAAAAACCACAAGUUCACUCUGGAAAGGAGAAAAACAAUUUCUAAAUUCUGUAGAGAUCUAUGUUAUUCAGGGGCCCUGAAAACUUUUUCACCUAAAAGCAUAUUUUUUUUCACAGUCUCUAUUUGAAGCCUCAGCCUUUCAGUGUGGUGCCUCUUGUGAAUUCAAGGCACCUGGAGGUGAUUAGGUGUGUCGUCAGCUUCCAAAGAGUCACUCUUUAAGAUGGAGCAUGGGACUCUGUGAGCACCUGGAAACUCCAUUUAUCCAGCUACAGCUCUCAGCUCCUGGAGGCCAACACAUCUUGACUGACCCAAAAUAUCAACACAAGCAAGCUUUGAGCAUGAAAACUCUUUAUUUCUCGUUUUUUUCCCUUAUUUAUUUAUUUAUUUAUUUGAGGUGCUAUAGAUGGAACUUGGGCUCUAAGCAACUGCUCAACCUUUGCCCUACACCUCCAGCCCUAGCACGUUAACUCUUCAGAGUCAUUGUGGUCACGGGGAGGGUUCAAAUUCUAUUUUUCUUGUGUCUGUUUGUAUUAAAAGUUGCAUCUCAAAAUUCCUAGUUAAAUAAAUUAAAGACACUGAAGAUGGGUCUUGGAAGAGCCAGAUAGGAAUCAAGCGAACUCGUUUAUGAAAUCAUCUUUUAUUUUAAGAAAAUAUAACUAUCCAAUUCUGCAAUAAUCAAGAGGAACAGUAUUUUUAGCCACGCACGGCUCAGUUCUAAGGUACAUGGGGAUGCCGUUGGAUUAUGCCUGAGACAUGGGGAUUUAAUGAACCAUGGAAAGCACAUUUACUUCAAGAGGACAAGAUGUGUUCAGCAUAUUUCAUCAGGAAACUUAGAAGGAAUUCUUUUGAAAAUAAUCCAAAUUGAUGACUGUAGUGGGAUCCGGUUAGAGAAGAGAGGUGUGUAUUUGCAACAGUCAAUUUGGAGUUGAUUGCUAAGAAAGACUCCAUUUGCAUAAUUUUAUGUAUUUUUCUAUUGAGAUCAGUCUAAGGCUCUCUAUGAAUUUUGCCAUAGAUGUUUUUCCUGUGAGCUUAGAGUUUAGAGCUAGGGCUUAGCGUCUCCUCUUGGUGACACUCAUUCUCACCCCAUCCAGGCCAACGUGGAUAUAUUCUUGAUCUCCAAAUCAGUUGGUAGAAUAAUCUGCUUUCUAAAAAAAAAUACAUAACAACUAAGAAUUCUAAAAUAAAGAGGUGAUUCUCUAGUGGGAAGACAUAAGCUUAUUUUACAUGUAGGUAAAAAAGAUAUACCACGGAAAAGGUCAUUUUUACAUUUGUAAAAAAUUCUGCAAAGGUUUGCCUGAUUCUGCUUAUACAUAAACUUGACCGUACCACUAAAUUCGUGACAUUACAGUUACUGUAACUAGAAGUGGUGGCUGGGUAAUGGCCUUGCCCUGACAACUCAAUGCACGGGCUGUGGUAUUUACGCACAAAGUAGAUGGCCUUCUUAAGUAGCGAGAAUUCAGUUUCAUCGUCAUUAUUACCAUUGUGCCAAAUGACUUGUAAAAUAAAAUAGAUGAGAUCUACAGCACCUAGCAAGUUAAGACAACCCCCAAUUCAUCAUUCUGCUGCAAAACUGCACUCAGAUGGUCUCAAAAUGAGGGUGAGAGAGAGGAUUAGUUCUGACCUUCCACCCAUCAGAACAAAGUGUUCUUCUUCAUCUCACUUCACUGGUUUCUGACUAGCAUAGCAGUUUUUUUCGUAUUGUCUUAUUUUUGUCUCUUCAUUAAUCAAGAAUAAGAAUCUACAGAGCCGCGGGACAUGCUGUUUUGUAGUUUUACACAGCGGACUCCUCUCGUGGCCCUUGGAAUGGUUUGUACCAGAGCAGGAGGCAGACUGAAGCUCAGAUGGAAACGGCUGAUCCCUCGCCACCCUCAGGGACAUUGGUGAUAACAGGUGUCCCCUGGAGUUUGCAGGACCGGUUGCCCACAGGUUCUGCGUCACUGGCACACUGUGUCAGAAAGUAGCGGGUGUUGCCAGUGGGGAGAGCAAUGGACAGGGCAGAUUUUUUAAAACGCAUACACAAUAUUGAGAAACACCAGGGAUGGGUCUGUACCAGGCGCCUGUAAACGAGGUUUCAAAGUGUCCGAGAGAGCCUCUUUAUUCCUAUCCCAUGGAGUCAACCUGUGCCCCUGACCCAAACCCACACGUCAGGCUCACAGGCUGAGCUGAUUACCUAGCCCCUCAAAUGUGUGAGUCAACGUGGGGAUCACUGAGGGCUUUCUGUUAGAUCCCUUGGUUCAGGGUGAUUGUGGACCUUGCUUUGACACAUCCUUGUGAAGUAUGUGGCCUCUGAGUUGGGACUGAAGGGGACACAGUCUGUGUGAGCUAGCUGAAAGGGGAGGAGCUUUGGAGUUCGACAAAUCUGCUUAAGAUUCCUAGCACAUCCCUUCCACAAGGGCCCCGGGCUUAGAAUGGUCCCACUUUAAGACUGUUGGACUUUCUGGGUGAGAAAGCACAGCCAUACACACACUCUGGGUUCUCAUUUAGUAUAAUGUUCAAUAAAUUGAUGGAUUGUCAACACUCUAGUAUAAUAUUGGGUCUGUGUGGGAUGACUUUGCC
rnacentral:lncRNA from 1 species